GAUUAUUUAUUAACCCCCCUUCAUGUUUUACACCGAAAUGCGUCGGUUCGAAGUAUAUCUUAUUUACAACGAAAUCGACAGAGCCUUGUGACAGUAGAUUGCACAGACACACGAAACGAUACAGGCGAGAACUGCGGUAAAAAAAAUACCGACGUACAAUAUGUCUACACAUCUUGAGUUCCGGGUACGAUUCUUGUGCGAAGGCAGACUACGAUAAUCCUCUGUUAGCAGACUUUCUUUAUCAUGCAAACAAACACCCUUGAUAGUGUCCAUAUUUGUUUAUCAAAUUUACAGUAUUUAAUGGAGUACGUAAACUGAUUACAAAUUCGUAGAAAAUA